rnacentral:rRNA from 1 species
GCAGGCUGCAACUCGCCUGCAUGAAGCUGGAAUUGCUAGUAAUCGCGGAUCAGCAAGCCGCGGUGAAUACGUUCCCGGGCCUUGUACACACCGCCCGUCACACCAUGAGAGUCGGUAACACCCAAAGUUGGUAGCCUAACCGCAAGGAGGGCGCCGCCUAAGGUGGGAUUGAUGACUGGGGUGAAGUCGUAACAAGGUAUC